GACGAACGCUGGCGGCGUGCUUUAACACAUGCAAGUCGUAACGGAGAAUUAUUAAUGAAGCUUGCGAUUUAAUAAUCUUAGUGGCGGACGGGUGAGUAACGCGUGGGCAACCUACCCAUAAGCGGGGGAUAACAGUUGGAAACGACUGCUAAUACCGCAUAAGCUAUAGAGGUCGCAUGACCUAAAUAGUAAAGUGGCAUUUAAAGAUGCUAUCACUUAUGGAUGGGCCCGCGUCUGAUUAGCUAGUUGGUGGGGUAGUGGCCUACCAAGGCAACGAUCAGUAGCCGGCCUGAGAGGGUGGACGGCCACACUGGGACUGAGACACGGCCCAGACUCCUACGGGAGGCAGCAGUGGGGAAUAUUGCGCAAUGGGGGAAACCCUGACGCAGCGACGCCGCGUGAGCGAAGAAGGCCUUAGGGUCGUAAAGCUCUGUUGUAAGGGACGAAUGUUUAUCUGACGAACAGUCAGAUAAAGUGACGGUACCUUACCAGCAAGCCCCGGCUAACUACGUG
rnacentral:rRNA from 1 species